UACGAAGGUGGCGAGCGUUGUUCGGAUUCACUGGGCAUAAAGGGCGCGUAGGCUGCCCUGUAAGCGGCGUGUGAAAUCCCGGAGCUCAACUCCGGAACUGCAUGCUGAACUGCAGGGCUAGAGGUCAAGAGGGGGGUGUGGAACUCCAGGUGGAGCGGUGAAAUGCGUAGAUAUCUGGAGGAACGCCGGUGGCGAAAGCGACACCCUGGCUUGACCCUGACGCUGAGGCGCGAAAGCGUGGGUAGCAAACAGG
rnacentral:misc_RNA from 1 species